UUACAUUGUUUGGGGUGCCUUUUAGGCUGAGAUAAUACCCAUGGAACCUGAUCAAGCUAAUACUUGCGAAGGAAAACAUUAGUCUUUUAUU
rnacentral:ncRNA from 2 species